ACAGUUUUCGCAACCUAAACGUGGACCCUCAGUUCAAGGUCAAGGUCAAAGGGGUAAACAUUUGUGUGCGUAUGGAAAGGCCUUGUCCAUAUACACAUGCAUACCAAAUAUGAAGGUUACAUCUGAAGGGACAUAAAAGUUAUGAGCAAUUUUCAAAACCUAAACACAGAUUUAGAAACCUAAACGCGGACCCUAAGUUCAAGGUCAAGGUCAAAAUUUGUGUGCGUAUGGAAAGGCCUUGUCCAUAUACACAUGCAUACCAAAUAUGAAGGUUACAUCUGAAGCGACAUAGAAGUUAUUUGCAUUUUUUCAGCAAAGUGUGACAGACAGACAGACAGUGCGAACACUAUUUUACCCUCCUUCAGGGGCAUAAAAAUAAAAUCAUUAAAUUUAGUAUUUGUGAAAUAAAGUUGCCUGGCACGGUACGUUAACAAACAUGUGCAUGAAUUGUCAACCUGAUGGCGACCCGUUUACAUGGUGGUGUGAAUAUAAACAGCGUUUCCCAACAAUUUAGCAUGUGGCCCAGGGAGCUAUUGUCUGCGCCAUCGACUUCCGUGCCAUGUGAGUGUGAGUUUUCAAAAAUAAGUCGUCUUGUUUUCAAGACUCCCAACCGCAAAGCCAUAAGCUAACGGACAAAGUAAUUUUCUUGACAAAUGAACACUCUUGUUGUGUGCAUGUUCUGCAUGUAUGUUCGCUAAUUUGUUUGAAUUGUAUGAUGGUGUUGCGCUAGUUUAACACUUAUUUAUUAACAUUUUUAUAUUAGGUUAAUUUUAUUUCAAAAAUAUAACAGAAGGUACAAAGAAACACAACAUUAUUGUGAGCAAAACAACGGGAAUAUAAGCAGCCCAACCCAAAAUAUAUUAAUGACAUGUGAAAAUGAACAAUGUGUAGUUCUUAUAAAAUUUAACUUGUAUGCUUUUACGCAGGAAAAAGUAAUACAAAAUAAAGCUUAAAUUUACUAAAUUAUUAAAAUAAAAUGAUAUAAUAUAUUUUUAUUAUGCCCCCCUACAAAGAAGAGGGGGUAUAUUGUUUUGCUCAUGUCGGUCGGUUGGUCGGUCGGUCCGUCCGUCCGUCCGUCCACCAGGUGGUUGUCAGACGAUAACUCGAGAACGCUUGGGCCUAGGAUCAUGAAACUUCAUAGGUACAUUGAUCAUGACUUGCAGAUGACCCCUAUCGAUUUUGAGGUCACUAGGUCAAAGGUCAAGGUCACGGUGACCCGAAAUAGUAAAAUGAUUUUCGGAUGAUAAUUCAAGAACGCAUAUGCCUAGGAUCAUGAAACUUUAUAGGUAGAUUGAUCAUGACUCGCAGAUGACCCCUAUUGAUUUUCAGGUCACUAGGUCAAAGGUCAAGGUCACAGUGACCCAAAAUAGUAAAAUGAUUUUCGGAUAAUAACUCAAGAAGGCAUAUGCCUAGGAUCAUGAAACUUCAUAGGUAGAUUGAUCAUGACUCGCAGAUGACCCCUAUUUAUUUUGAGGUCACAAGGUCAAAGGUCAAGGUCACAGUGACAAAAGUUGUAUUCACACAAUGGCUGCCAGUACAACGGACAGCCCAUAUGGGGGGCAUGCAUGUUUUACAAACAGCCCUUGUUAAGAAAUUGAUAUGUUAUCAAAGCAAGUUAUCUCGAAUUCGUUUCUAUUUGAGUACAUGAGCCAGCAAAAUGACAUGUUUAACAUAUACUUAAACUACUGAAUGAUUUUCUGUUAACCAGUUAAUAACCAGUUAUGGCAAAAGGUGAACGGGUUAAUGUUUUUUGUAACCUCUUGCAUCCCUUCUUUAAAAGUUAGCAGAGAAUGAGAAGCGAUUCCUUGGCCAACAGGUCUUAAUGCAUGUGCCCAAAGUGUGGACCUAGAUUAGCCUGUGCAGUGUGCACAAGAUAGUCAUGGACGAUACUUUCUGCUGUAAUGGAAUUUUUUGUUUUAUUAUGAAAAUUUUUAUUUUAAAGAAGUUUAUAGUGUCAGCGUAAAGUGUUGUCUUUACUAAGCCUGUGUGGAAUUCCCAGGCUAAUCCAAGACGACACUUCACACCAUUGCUACUUUACACACAGGUUAGCAGAGACGACACUUUACACCAUUGCUACUUUACACACAGGUUAGCAGAGACGACACUUUACACCAUUGCUACUUUACACACAGGUUAGCAGAGACGACACUUUACACCAUUGCUACUUUACACACAGGUUAGCAGAGACGACACUUUACACCAUUGCUACUUUACACACAGGUUAGCAGAGACGACACUUUACACCAUUGCUACUUUACACACAGGUUAGCAGAGACGACACUUUACACCAUUGCUACUUUACACACAGGUUAGCAGAGACGACACUUUACACCAUUGCUACUUUACACACAGGUUAGCAGAGACGACACUUUACACCAUUGCUACUUUACACACAGGUUAGCAGAGACGACACUUUAC